rnacentral:rRNA from 1 species
AUACGGAGGGUCCGAGCGUUAAUCGGAAUUACUGGGCGUAAAGCGCGCGUAGGCGGCUAUAUAAGUCAGAUGUGAAAUCCCUGGGCUCAACCUAGGAACUGCAUUUGAAACUGUAUAGCUAGAGUAUGGUAGAGGUGAGUGGAAUUUCAGGUGUAGCGGUGAAAUGCGUAGAGAUCUGAAGGAACAUCAGUGGCGAAGGCGACUCACUGGGCCAUUACUGACGCUGAGGUGCGAAAGCGUGGGUAGCAAACAGGAUUAGAAACCCUAGUAGUCC